GUCAGCUCGUGCCGUGAGGUGUUGGGUUAAGUCCGUAACGAGCGCAACCCCUGCCUUUAGUUGCGACCGGUAACGCCGAGCACUCUAAAGGGACUGCCUGGGAUAACCAGGAGGAAGCGGGGAUGACGUCAAGUCAGCAUGGCCCUUACGUCCAGGGCUACACACGUGCUACAAUGGCCGGUACAGAGGGAAGCAAUACCGCGAGGUGGAGCAAAUCCCAUAAAGCCGGCCUCAGUUCAGAUCGGAGGCUGCAACUCGCCUCCGUGAAGGCGGAAUCGCUAGUAAUCGCGGAUCAGCAGGCCGCGGUGAAUACGUUCCCGGGCCUU
rnacentral:rRNA from 1 species